ensembl:lncRNA STARD7-AS1 STARD7 antisense RNA 1
CCUUCAUGCAUGCGCGGAGGCCGCCUGCUAGCAAGGUGCUGAACCUGAGAGCAGCCCCAGUACACUCCCUGCAUGGGAAUCUCCAUCUCAAAGUCAGCCUCCAGGGAGCCCGCCCUGAAACAGAUUCUGUCAUGGAACUCAACAGAGUAUCCUGGUGCGGAUAACCAGUGUUGGGAGUUAGAGCACGGACUCUCUCCACCUGCACGGUGCUGGAGCUCUGCACACCCCCUCUGCAGCCAUCCCUCGCCGCUGUCCCUUAGCUGACGCCCUUGCCCUCUGUGUGUCCUUCCUCAUGGCCUGCAGGUUUCAGAUCCCAAGCUACAGAUCAUGUCUUCUAGUCUGGGCUCUGGCAGAGAGUUCGGAAGCACUCUUAUUAUCUUAGCAGCAGCAUGUGUGGAAAUCAUUUCUCAUUACAGCGGAGGGCAGGCAUUGUGCAGAGGGUUAAGUGGGCCUGCUUGAAGUUGGUUGUUGUUAGCUCUCAUGUCUAUGCCUUGGUCCCUUUCCCCUCAGGACUUGGAGAGCAAGCUGUUUGAGUCUGAUGCAACCCCUGGGCUUUGACUAUCAUGCCAAAAGGCAGCAAAUAAGUGCCUUUUCUUCCCUUCAGAAUACAUGGACAAUCCAAAGCUCUAUUAGUCUAUUAUUCAGAAUGAAAAGUGUUUACAAUAUUCGUCCUCUUACUCCUCAGUAUGUGAGACUGUUCCUCGUAGCAGGUAAUUUCUUCCGAAUUCAAAAACUCCUCAUGGAAGCAUCUGUUUUUGUCAUCAAGGAGGGGGCUGUAUGUGGAAUUGCAAGGCCAAAGACAUCUCGGGUCAACUCUUCUCAGGACCAGAUCCAAGUCGCCAGUGAGAACACACAUUCAGGCAGCCUCCACCAGCGCCCUGCCUCAGGAGCGAGGCUCCCUGCUUCAUGUGGGCAAGAGCUGCCCUUGUUUUCCCAGCGGGCAGUUGGGGGUCUGGAGCCUAGGAAGCAAAGUGAAGCACACACUCCUGCUUCCUUCCUUCCCUGCAGUUGAGACGGGAGUCUUACUUUGUUGCCCAGGCUGGUCUCAAACUCCUGGCUUCAAGCAAUCCUUCCACUUUGGCCUUCCAAAGUGCUGGGAUUACAGGCAUGAGCCACCAUGCCCAGCCUCCUUCUCUUACUAGCUGAGAACUAAGAGAAGACACUCUGGAGACAGAGGAGGAAACAGUGACGAUGCCACAUGAUGAAUACAUAAUGGAGGGUGAAGACAAGGCUCCGUCAGGGGCACCAAGGAGGGAAACCCAGUUCUGUGGGGAAGGUAUGGGGCAGCUUCACAAGCCCAGUGUCUGCUCCCUUUGUGGGAGACGUGUUGUUUCAGCAUCCAUUCCCCCUUCUUUUAGGAAAAGUGCUUGAAUUUCCUUUUCAUGGAACCACCCACCUCCCUCUCAUCCAUGCAUUCUAUUCCCAGUAUCAGGGGUAGACAAGUGACUUCAGGCUUGGCCAAUUAGGGUUCUGACUCUUGGUCAAAUCAGAGUGAAUCCUGAGUCAUUUGUAAACUCCAAGGAAAGGGCUUGCUUUGUUUUCUGUUGAAUGCAGUGCUCUGAGAUAGCCGGAAAUGAAACUGCUCUCUUGCCACACUGAAGGCUAGAGAAGGGCCUGGCCAGGAAAUGAUGCCAGUGAUCAGGGGUGGAGCUGGAAGAGGGGGAGUGAGGAGGCCCAGACAUCUUGGGAGCCCCAAAUUCACCUCAGGAUUUAACUUCUCCGCUGCUCAGCCAAUAAAU